UACGUAGGGUGCAAGCGUUAAUCGGAAUUACUGGGCGUAAAGCGUGCGCAGGCGGUUAUGUAAGACAGAUGUGAAAUGCCCGGGCUUAACCUGGGAACUGCAUUUGUGACUGCAUGGCUAGAGUGUGUCAGAGGGGGGGUAGAAUUCCACGUGUAGCAGUGAAAUGCGUAGAGAUGUGGAGGAAUACCGAUGGCGAAGGCAGCCCCCCUGGGAUAACACUGACGCUCAUGCACGAAAGCGUGGGGAGCAAACAGG
rnacentral:rRNA from 1 species